rnacentral:rRNA from 1 species
UACGUAGGGGGGCUAGCGUUGUCCGGAAUCAUUGGGCGUAAAGAGCGUGUAGGCGGCCCGGUAAGUCCGCUGUGAAAGUCGGGGGCUCAACCCUCGGAUGCCGGUGGAGUACUGUCGGGCUCGAGUACGGAAGAGGCGAGUGGAAUUCCUGGUGUAGCGGUGAAAUGCGCAGAUAUCAGGAGGAACACCAAUUGCGAAGGCAGCUCGCUGGGACGUUACUGACGCUGAGACGCGAAAGCGUGGGGAGCGAACAGG